UGGGGAAUCUUGCGCAAUGGGCGAAAGCCUGACGCAGCAACGCCGCGUGAGGGAAGAAGGCUUUCGGGUUGUAAACCUCUUUCAGGAGGGACGAAGCUUCCGGGGUUAAUAGCCUACGGGGUGACGGUACCUCCAGAAGAAGCCCCGGCUAACUACGUGCCAGCAGCCGCGGUAAUACGUAGGGGGCAAGCGUUGUCCGGAAUCAUUGGGCGUAAAGCGCGUGUAGGUGGCUUGGUAAGUCCGGUGUGAAACCUUGGGGCUCAACCCCAAGCCUGCAUCGGAUACUGCCUCGCUCGAGUUCGGGAGGGGAGAGCGGAAUUCCUAGUGUAGCGGUGAAAUGCGCAGAUAUUAGGAAGAACACCGGUGGCGAAGGCGGCGCUCUGGAACGAUACUGACACUGAGACGCGAAAGCGUGGGUAGCGAACAGGAUUAGAUACCCCCGUAGUCCCUGAGCGGGCUGGCAAGGCGCAU
rnacentral:rRNA from 1 species